UACGGGGGGAGCAAGCGUUGUUCGGAUUUACUGGGCGUAAAGGGCGCGUAGGCGGUCAGCACAAGUCAGUUGUGAAAUCUCCGGGCUUAGCUCGGAAAGGUCAACUGAUACUGUGCGACUAGAGUGCGGAAGGGGCAACUGGAAUUCUCGGUGUAGCGGUGAAAUGCGUAGAUAUCGAGAGGAACACCUGCGGCGAAGGCGGGUUGCUGGGCCGACACUGACGCUGAUGCGCGAAAGCCAGGGGAGCGAACGGG
rnacentral:rRNA from 1 species